rnacentral:rRNA from 1 species
AGUGAACGCUGGCGGUAGGCCUAACACAUGCAAGUCGAACGGCAGCACAGGAGAGCUUGCUCUCUGGGUGGCGAGUGACGGACGGGUGAGGAAUACAUCGGAAUCUACUCUGUCGUGGGGGAUAACGUAGGGAAACUUACGCUAAUACCGCAUACGACCUACGGGUGAAAGCAGGGGAUCUUCGGACCUUGCGCGAUUGAAUGAGCCGAUGUCGGAUUAGCUAGUUGGCGGGGUAAAGGCCCACCAAGGCGACGAUCCGUAGCUGGUCUGAGAGGAUGAUCAGCCACACUGGAACGGAGACACGGUCCAGACUCCUAGGGGAGGCAGCAGUGGGGAAUAUUGGACAAUGGGCGCAAGCCUGAUCCAGCCAUACCGCGUGGGUGAAGAAGGCCUUCGGGUUGUAAAGCCCUUUUGUUGGGAAAGAAAUCCAGCUGGCUAAUACCCGGUUGGGAUGACGGUACCCAAAGAAUAAGCACCGGCUAACUUCGUGCCAGCAGCCGCCGUAA